rnacentral:rRNA from 1 species
CAGUUCGGACUGUAGUCUGCAACCCGACUACACAAAGCCGGAAUCGCUAGUAAUCGCGAAUCAGAAUGUCGCGGUGAAUACGUUCCCGGGUCUUGUACACACCGCCCGUCACACCAUGGGAGCCGGUAACGCCCGAAGUCAGUGACCCAACCGAGAGGAGGGAGCUGCCGAAGGCGGGACAGGUAACUGGGGUGAAGUCGUAACAAGGUACC